UGCGAUUCGCUCAGUAGAAUCGUUCCAUCCCAUUCCACUCCGUUUUUCAGCGCACAGGUGCAAAAGCUAUUCCGAUGCUCGGGAAGAGAAGUUAAUGACAGCGCACUUUUGUAGCAAUCAGCAGUGACGGACACAGAAAUGUUUGCGCACGUCACACUGACAUAUGAGUCCGGUAUGCCAUGCCGACCUCGCAAUCUAACUGGCUGCGAAGCAGUUUCAUUUCAGACGAUCUAGAGACCAGUGCAGGAUUCCUCAUCUGAAGGACAAUGAAGCUGAUGGUGACACUCCUUGCCAUUACCGUUUCCGGUCUUUUGGUUCCAGACACUACAGCUUCCCCACAUGGUGAAAUAUCUGGAGGUGCGUCCGAGGGAACUCAGCGCUCUGACGGAAGUUCUGAGGACGCCCAAGCCCGUGUAGCUGUGGCUUGCGUGAACAACAACUGCGUAGUGUCACCGAGCGGGAAAUAAUUGAAAACCUUGAGAGAAUGCAUUUGCGACUGCAACGCAGCCUUGGCUACUUUUCGGAAGCAUCGGCAGAGUUUCUGAACCGCAGCUCCAAAUAAAUGCCCACAUGUGGAACUAAC
rnacentral:lncRNA from 1 species